rnacentral:sRNA from 1 species
UUCGAACAAACUAUGCAAGCUGCGAAGGGGUCUGUUCUAAGUCUUCUAUCCAUAUCCAUGAACCCUAAGCGGGAAAUAUGGAUCGCAAAUUACAUGGAGUUAAUCGUUAUAUAGUGGUUAGAUAGGCCGUUUCUCCUAAUCUUCAACUGGAGCCGAAUUCGAGGGAGAAUAGCUUGUCUCCAAUUCUUUCAUCCUUAAUCAGAUACGCCAGAGACAACAAACGGUUACUAGAUUAACGAAGAUGCAAUAUUAUGGUUAAAGGACCAGGAUUCAGGUUGACUUAGCCAUGCUUGUGCAGUUGGUCGCAGAAAAAGAAAAUUUUGGGAACAGGAUAUGCUUUGCUCGAUUCCCGAAGAAUUCCUGUUUUGGCAACUAUGAGCCAUGGUGGCCAUUUGAUGCUAGCAAGCCGAGGCUAUUCGAAGUGUUGGCGGAUUUACUUUGCAUGAUGUGCAUCUUGAUCCAACAGCCCACAAAAUGUU